rnacentral:rRNA from 1 species
GACGGAGGAUGCAAGUGUUAUCCGGAAUCACUGGGCGUAAAGCGUCUGUAGGUGGUUCGAAAAGUCCACUGUUAAAAAUUGAGGCUUAACCUCAAAGAUGCCGUGGAAACUUUCAAACUAGAGUAUGGUAGGGGUAGAGGGAAUUUCCAGUGGAGCGGUGAAAUGCGUAGAUAUUGGAAAGACCACCGAUGGCGAAGGCAGGUCUCUGGGCCACUACUGACGCUGAGAAGCGAAAGCAUGGGGAGCGAACAGG